GGACCCGUAGCUCAACUGGAUAGAGCAAUGCGCUUCGAACGCAGAGGUUGGGAGUUCAAGUCUCUCCGGGUCCACCA
rnacentral:tRNA from 1 species